ensembl:lncRNA
GGUUUUGUAGCCCUGAUAGUACUUCAGCGCUUGAGUGACACGGCUUCCUUUCCAGUGGAAAUAGAUUUUAUCUAAAUCAUAGUAGUUGCCCAUCAAAUAUGCUGAUGGGAGGAAGUGGUUCAGUGGGAAGGGUUCAUGCAUGUGUUUUGGUAUUCAGGCACAGUUUGAAGAGCCAGAAAUGCCUUGUGGAAUUCACAAGUAUUUUGGGGUUCUUCCCUGUUUGCCUGAUCUCAGGCAGGGAAGUAGUUGUAGAAAAGCUUCCUGCGAUGGUUGGCCUAAGCAAGACCACUUGGUAAUAGUAAGGAAAUGAAAAUUGAUGCAAGUUCCCUUCCUUUCCUAACUAGAAAUAAGAAAUCAGACAAAACCCAGCAGAUGACUGAGUAUCUGCACUUUGAGAUGAGGAUCUUCACAAAUGUCCAGGCAUUUCUUUGCAGCAGCUUGACUCCUCACCACAUCGUCCCAAGUUGCUUUAUAGUUUCAGGGUUACUUGGGAUUUCCUCUGAAUGUAUUUGCAACUUUCCAUUAUGCAAUACUGUAUUAAAAUUCAGUAUUUGUAAGACCAUUGCAUCCUAAUGACUGUCAUAGGGCAGACUUGGUGUGCACAGUGUUUACAGGAGGCCAGUUUUAUGCAAGUUGUUACUUUAAAUCAAAUCCCGUGCUGUUCUUACUGUGCAGCUGAGGAGUGUCAGGCUCCAGCGCUUGCAGUAGCUUCCAGUCACAGACUGAUGCGUCAGAUUCUGCCAUCUGUACACUUGCUGCAGAGGUUUCAUUUGACUGGCAGGUUGGUGGCAACUGUGUAAUUGCAUUUGUAACAGAAUGAAUAAAAAGCUGUUUGAAUUUACCAUUAGCUACACCUCACAACUCAGAUUUCUAUCUCGGAACCAAGCAGCAUUCUCUCCAAUUUAUUUUUUUCAGGAUGAGUGUUAACUGGAAGCAGAGAAAAUACUUAAUGGCAGGAAAAUGCCAUGUAAACCAAAACUGAAAGAGCACACCCAGUUCUGUGUAUUUCCCUUAGAAGAAGUUUCUGGAGUAAGUGAAGGGAGCUUAGCUUCAUUAGUUGAACAAUGGGAGUUUCUUACUGUUACGCCAGAACUUUGUUAUUUUCUUUUUGUGUGUAAGAAACUCAAGAAUUCUCAGCAGGUUCUUUAUGUGACUGUAUUUCAAAAUGUUCUUUUCCAACUGAGAGACCAGGCAAAGCAGAAUGAGAGCUCUAGUAAUUGCCGGUGGUGAAUGCUGAGUGGUCUUCAGUCUCGCUGCUAACAGAAUUCCCUUCAGUCGGUGCUGACUUCACCAUAUUCAGUUCAGAAUUCCUCAGCCCGACUUGUCUUGUUUCUGUGAAGUGCUGUGCCAAGCUGAGGGAAUACCCUGAGCCACCGGAGCCCCUGGUCCCUCUGGGCUGUGCCCUGGCUGCCCAGUGCUGUGAUAUGACCAGAGACCCAAGGCAGGGCAAGGUGGUGGCUCCACUUUCCCACCCACAUCCCUUUGAUCCUGUCCCAUGGGCCUGGCCAUGUCCUGCUCUGCCCACAGCAGGUUGUCUGUCCCUGGGUCUCUCCAGGGCACCACAAGGUGCUUAAGCACAGAAUGUUAGUUUUUAAAGUUUACAUUUCAAGUAUGUAAAUUGUAUACAUUUUACUUUGUCCUUAAUUGUUAACUGUAUAGUCUUCAAACCAUGAAAGGGUCUCUUCUUUGUGUUUUAAUAGACAUGUAAAUAUGUGGCCAUAAAGCAACUGGUAAAGAAUAUGAGAGCUGAAACUGCCAUUUACAGUAAGCUCCAUGUUUUAGUAAGUAGAUAAAUUUGCAUUAAAAUGCAAAUCCAGCACACAGUAUUAUAUUUGCAUCUGAAAGACACAGGUUCCAUAGCUCAUUUAAAGAGGAAGGCAGCUGUAAGUACUGCUGUGAACUGUGCACUUCUGCUCUGCCUACAGGUUCCUUUUUGCCUGGGCUAUCCUCUGCUUUGAACAAUCAGCAGGUAAUUCUAUCUCACAAGACAGAAAAGCUCAUUGUUGACCAUAAGAAGUCAGCAUGAAUUGGUAAAUGUCUUUAUGAAGGAUACUUUUUCAUUGGAGAAAGAAUUUGUGGCAACAGAACAGAGAUUAAUGUAAGCCAAGUGUCAUGGAAGUGUUAAAGAAAGUGCCUUGACUGGUUCCAGCAAAAGAGAACACAUUGUGCAGGGAGUAAGGAGAAAAGGGAACUAGUAACAUUCAGUAGUGUGAGUUUGCAGUGGAGUUUUAAAAGCAGUCACUGUCUACCAAAUCGAUGUUUCAUUUUUCAUAUAAACAUGCUGACACUAACUUUCCUUUCUGGACUUUAUCUAGGAAAUAUUUGGGUUUGUAUCUAAUAAGUUUUGUAUCUAAUGAGUACUGAAGUAUUAAAGAACCCUGGCAGAGCAUCAGAGCACCUACCUGCUGAUUGCCCACCUGCAUCUGUGAACUUAUUUUACCAUAGGAGGGAAAAAAGGUGUUCCAGGACAUGCGCAGACAAGUCUAGGAAGCGGGUUCAGCUAUAGAUGGGUGGCUUUAAAACAGAAAACACUUUUACUGAAUCUUAUGUGGUCUUGAUAAAUCAAAGUUCUUAUGCUUUCCUUGACAGGUACAAAACUCCACAUGCAAACCCAUAACUGUUUAUGAUUGUCCCACUACGACAGUUCACUACAUUUACUUGUCAACACGCUGCCAUUGGAGCAAUAAAAAUGUCAAGCUAUUACUAUUCAAUGUACAUUAUUUAUCAUUUCAGUAAGAAAUGUUGUGUGAUUCUUCUGCCUUUUUUGUUCUCUGCUUUUGGUGUUCUUACGGUCUUGAAACAUUACUUGUACUGCUUCAGAAAAGUGGUUUUGUUUAAGCUGUAUGAAACUUUGUUCACUACAUUUUAAUCUUGUUUAUAAGUAAACAGCCACUUUUGUAACAGGACCUCACCCUCGGACCACAUCUUGAGAGUUUUCUCUUUUUCUUUUCUUCCCUUUUUUUAAAUGAAAAUAAACCUCUGAGCUCGCUUUCUACAACUCACUGCACUGGCUUGUGCCAUUACAAGAAGCUGGAAGUCAGAUGUGCUUAAUCACUUUGAGACAUUUUUCUUUAAUUAAAUUUCAAGAUAAAAA